rnacentral:misc_RNA from 1 species
AAGUCGUAACAAGGUUUCCGUAGGUGAACCUGCGGAAGGAUCAUUAAUGAAACUUCAAGUCGGCUCACAUCUGUGCUGGUGGCAACACAUGUGCACGAUUGGGUCGCAAAUCCACACACCUGUGCACCUUUGACUCUGAGUUACCACUUUGCAUGGUUUGUCCUCACGGAUCUUACCUGGUACUCGAGUAUUUUACACACUCUGAACUGUAACAGAAUGUCUAUUUGUGCAUAACGUACAACUAAAACAACUUUCAACAACGGAUCUCUUGGCUCUC